UACGUAGGGUGCAAGCGUUUGUCCGGAAUUAUUGGGCGUAAAGAGCUCGUAGGCGGUUCGUCGCGUCGGCUGUGAAAACCCGGAGCUCAACUCCGGGCCUGCAGUCGAUACGGGCGGACUCGAGUUCGGCAGGGGAGACUGGAAUUCCUGGUGUAGCGGUGAAAUGCGCAGAUAUCAGGAGGAACACCGGUGGCGAAGGCGGG
rnacentral:rRNA from 1 species